GGAGAAUCGCUUGAACCCGGGAGGUGGAGCGAUUCUCCUGCCUCAGCCUCCCGAGUAGCUGGGAUUACAGGCACCCACCACCAUGACCGGCUAAUUUUUGUAUUUUUGGUAGAGGCGGGGUUUCACCCUGUUGGCCAGGCUGGUCUCAAACUCCUGACCUCAGGUGAUCCGCCUGCCUCGGCCUCCCAAAGUGCUGGGAUUACAAGCGUGAGCCACCACGCCAGAAAGGGCAAUUUUCAAAAGAAAAAACACAGUGCACAAACAUUUGAAAAAAGGUUCACCUUUGUUAGUAAUGAUCACAAUGUAAGUUAAGGAAGGGUAUCAUCUACCUCCUCCAGAACUGCCCACUCCUGGUAAGACUACAAAUCAGUUCAACUAUUUCGAAAAGCAAAUUGGCAAUAUGUAUCAAAGGCAGGCAUAUUUGUGGUUUCCACCUCUUAUUUAUCCCAGUAAUUUUACUUCUGGUGAAUAAUCCCAAAGAAAUAAUUUUAAAUUCAGGAGAAGGCUUUUUGUACUAAGCUGUCCGCUCAUAAUAGGAAAAAAUGGAAAGCAAUCUACAUGUCCAACAAUAGAGAGAUGCUUAAAUAAAUUAUGGUGCUUCUGUUGGUGAAGUAUUAUAAAAAUCUAUAAAAUGC
rnacentral:lncRNA from 1 species